GGGGAAACGUCAGAGGGGAGGCAGAGCGACAAGGCAGCUCGCCGUCGACUCUGGCCUCAGUGUCCACUUAACCGUCGGUGGGGAAGGAUACAGUUGUAACAAUUCUGUAGAACAGUUAUACGAAAUGAUUUAAACUCUAUAACGUUUUAAUAAACGCUUCUGCAAGCAUAAGGAGUGAAGAAGAAGAAGAAGAAAAAAAAAAAAACGUUUUGCUGGUGAGG
rnacentral:lncRNA from 1 species